rnacentral:rRNA from 1 species
UACGGGGGGAGCAAGCGUUGUUCGGAUUUACUGGGCGUAAAGGGCGCGUAGGCGGCCACCGCAAGUCGACUGUGAAAUCUCCGGGCUUAACCCGGAAAGGUCAGCCGAUACUGCGGGGCUAGAGUGCAGAAGGGGCAACUGGAAUUCCCGGUGUAGCGGUGAAAUGCGCAGAUAUCGGGAGGAACACCAGUGGCGAAGGCGGCACUCUGGGCCGGAACUGACGCUGAGGAGCGAAAGCGUGGGGAGCGAACAGG